CAGCAGCCGCGGUAAUACGGAGGGGGUUAGCGUUGUUCGGAAUUACUGGGCGUAAAGCGCACGUAGGCGGAUUAGAAAGUUGGGGGUGAAAUCCCGGGGCUCAACCCCGGAACUGCCUCCAAAACUGCUAGUCUAGAGUUCGAGAGAGGUGAGUGGAAUUCCGAGUGUAGAGGUGAAAUUCGUAGAUAUUCGGAGGAACACCAGUGGCGAAGGCGGCUCACUGGCUCGAUACUGACGCUGAGGUGCGAAAGUGUGGGGAGCAAACAGGAUUAGAUACCCUGGUAGUCCACACCGUAAACGAUGAAUGCCAGUCGUCGGGUAGUAUACUAUUCGGUGACACACCUAACGGAUUAAGCAUUCCGCCUGGGGAGUACGGUCGCAAGAUUAAAACUCAAAGGAAUUGACGGGG
rnacentral:rRNA from 1 species